CGUCGCCGGUGGUCCCCUGACGGUAUGCUCACCGAGAGCACGCUGAGGAAAGUCGGCCCACGCAUGAACGCGAAAGACCGCGGGAGUGGUCGCAAGAGCACAGAAACGGUCUGCAUCCCCGUGCAAGAUGAUUCGAUGAGAUGAUAUUGCGGGAAAUGCAUUGAAACGGGUUCUUGCCGCGUGCGUGCAAGUCUAUUAUGACGCUUAGGCGAAUGGGGACAAAACAGAAGGCCGCUUACGGCCGGCAACG
rnacentral:RNase_P_RNA from 1 species